AGGCUAACACAUGCAAGUCGAGGGGCAGCAUAAAAGUAGCAAUACGUUGGUGGCGACCGGCGCACGGGUGAGUAACGCGUAUGCAACCUACCUAUCAGAGGGGAAUAACCCCGGCGAAAGUCGGACUAAUACCGCAUAAAACAGGGGCACCGCAUGGUGAUAUUUGUUAAAGAAAUUCGCUGAUAGAUGGGCAUGCGUUCCAUUAGGUAGUUGGUGAGGUAACGGCUCACCAAGCCGACGAUGGAUAGGGGAACUGAGAGGUUGGUCCCCCACACUGGUACUGAGACACGGACCAGACUCCUACGGGAGGCAGCAGUGAGGAAUAUUGGUCAAUGGGCGGGAGCCUGAACCAGCCAAGUCGCGUGAAGGGAAAAGAAGGAUCUAUGGUUCGUAAACUUCUUUUGCAGGGGAAUAAAGUGCAGGACGUGUCCUGUUUUGUAUGUACCCUGAGAAUAAGGAUCGGCUAACUCCGUGCCAGCAGCAGC
rnacentral:rRNA from 1 species